AACGAACGCUGGCGGCAUGCCUAACACAUGCAAGUCGAACGAGACCUUCGGGUCUAGUGGCGCACGGGUGCGUAACGCGUGGGAAUCUGCCUCUUGGUUCGGAAUAACUCAGGGAAACUUGAGCUAAUACCGGAUGAUGACGAAAGUCCAAAGAUUUAUCGCCAAGAGAUGAGCCCGCGUAAGAUUAGGUAGUUGGUGGGGUAAAGGCCUACCAAGCCGACGAUCUUUAGCUGGUCUGAGAGGAUGAUCAGCCACACUGGGACUGAGACACGGCCCAGACUCCUACGGGAGGCAGCAGUGGGGAAUAUUGGACAAUGGGCGAAAGCCUGAUCCAGCAAUGCCGCGUGAGUGAUGAAGGCCCUCGGGUCGUAAAGCUCUUUUACCAGGGAUGAUAAUGACAGUACCUGGAGAAUAAGCUCCGGCUAACUCCGUG
rnacentral:rRNA from 1 species